rfam:Trachymyrmex cornetzi contig38984, whole genome shotgun sequence.
CAAACGGCCCUUUUCAGGGCCACAUAAAAUACCAUAAUCGACCCUUU